CAAACGGCUCUUUUAAGAGCCACCCAAUUUCUCUAAAAGAGGUUA
rfam:Ciona savignyi cont_32442, whole genome shotgun sequence.